GCCCAAGAGAUCGGGAUAACACCUGGAAACAGAUGCUAAUACCGGAUAACAACAGAUGAUGCCUAUCAACUGUUUAAAAGAUGGUUCUGCUAUCACUCUUGGAUGGACCUGCGGUGCAUUAGCUAGUUGGUAGGGUAACGGCCUACCAAGGCGAUGAUGCAUAGCCGAGUUGAGAUACUGAUCGGCCACAUUGGGACUGAGACACGGCCCAAACUCCUACGGGAGGCAGCAGCA
rnacentral:rRNA from 1 species